UACGUAGGGUGCGAGCGUUGCCCGGAUUUAUUGGGCGUAAAGGGCGCGUAGGCGGCCACGCACGUCCGUUGUGAAAUCGCCCGGCUCAACUGGGCGGGGUCGGCGGAUACGGCGUGGCUGGAGCAAGCUAGGGGGCAAUGGAAUUCCCGGUGUAGUGGUGGAAUGCGUAGAUAUCGGGAGGAACACCAGUGGCGAAGGCGGUUGCCUGGAGCUUUGCUGACGCUCAUGCACGAAAGCGUGGGGAGCAAACAGG
rnacentral:rRNA from 1 species